UACGAAGGGGGCUAGCGUUGCUCGGAAUUACUGGGCGUAAAGGGCGCGUAGGCGGACAACUUAGUCAGAGGUGAAAGCCCAGGGCUCAACCUUGGAACUGCCUUUGAUACUGGUUGUCUUGAGUUCGGGAGAGGUGAGUGGAAUGCCGAGUGUAGAGGUGAAAUUCGUAGAUAUUCGGCGGAACACCAGUGGCGAAGGCGACUCACUGGCCCGAUACUGACGCUGAGGCGCGAAGCGUGGGGAGCAAACGGG
rnacentral:rRNA from 1 species